AGCUCCCGCAGCUCCUUCUCGUGCCGCCGCUGCAGCUUCACGACGCUCUUCAGCUCCCGCAGCUCCUCCAGGCUAGCGGUCCGCGGCUCUGCUGGGGCAGGCGUGAGGCGCGCGCCCCCCGGGAACCGCCCCCCACCCCGAGUCCCGGACCCUCCCCGGGCUCGACCCCAACGUGACUCGGUCUCAGCAGGCCUUACCCGCAGCGUCUUUCGUGGCCUCCUCCCUGGCCUUGGCCUGGGCUGCUGCAAGAACCAAAGGAGAGGCUCUCCGGUGCCCUCGGCUCGGCCGCUCCCGCGCCUCCCGGGGCUGGCGGUGUGGGCCCCCUGCUGCGCGCUGCCCAGCCCGAGGCUUCACAUGCAGCCGUUCCCUCCCCAGGUGAAAGUUUUCGGGGUUGUUUUUGUUUUUGUUUUUAUAGAGAACUGCCGCCCGUCUGGGAUGUGCCUACCGGUGCAGCGGAGAGAUCGAGACCCUUCCGGUUUCAGCUUAGCCAUCACCUCCUCCAGGAAGCCUUCCCUGAUCCUCAAGACCAGAUCUGGAGCCUCAGGUGCUCUCAUAGAAGCCACUGGUUGUAAUGGCCUGGUUACCUGUCUGCCUCCUGACUAGAGGGAGACGAAGUUAUGGAAGGUGAGGUCCACCAUGUCGGGGCCAGACACCACGGUGAGCGUCUUCAGCAGGAAGUUGUUGUCAGGAAAGUCCAUGUUGAAGACAUCCCGGAGCUUCUGGCUCUGUAGCAGGUCGUGACAAGGUUAGGAUCAGAGGGAUGCGAAAGCUGAAGCAUCUGGGCCCAAGGCAGCCAUGGUCGGAGUGACUGCAUCCUCCCUCCCAAAGCAGAGAGCCCCUGCCCACAGGAGAUGCCCCCAGAGCCACCCUUCCCAGUCAUUCUAUACUCCUGGCAUCCACACCUCCACCCCUGUGUCAUCGAGAGGCUGCUUGGACUCAAUGGAACAGCGGGAGCUCAGGGCCACGCAGUUUGUGUGGAUCAGGGCCUGGACCCACCUUCCCAGGGCAGGCUGAACUAGGGGUGCUCCUGAAGCAGGCUGUCCCCCAAGCAGCCUGAACUCGUGAAGUCACAUCACGGGCAAACGCCAACCUCCCACCACCUCCACACCAUCACAGCUGAUGAGGCGGGCGUGACAGUGAAGACCAGGAGGUGUCCAUCAGUCCGGCUGUAUGUUCAGCUGCAGCUCCAGAUCCAGCCACCCUCUGCAUGCUGAGAGCUGAGUGUGAAUGCAGGCAAGGACAAGGCUGGGUAGCAGGUGCUGAGGCUGUAAUCCCUUAGGGGAAAAGGACAGGCGAUCAAGAGUUCUCUGCAGAAACCCAGGAGGAAGACGUUGCCUGUCCUCCCAUGCCAACCCCUCCUAGAAUCAUAGAAGGAACCAUCCUGGACUUAGAAGUGGAAAAGAAUCAGUCCCAUAUGUGUUUCCCUUUGAAGUAUCAUUUUGGAUCAAACUUACCUGGAGGUGUAACUAGGGGAACACUGGAUCCGUCCUCAAGAGACCUAGAUUUUACUCUCAACCAGAGCAAAGUUUAGCUGUGAGAUCUUGGCAAGUUACCUGAGCUCCCUGAUCUGUUAAGUUUUUGAUCAUUUCCAAGAUUCCUUCCAGCUCUAAAAAUCUCUGUCCCAUCAGAAGGACCAGCCUUGUCACUUUCUCUGAGAGAUGACAAACCUAGAGAUGAGAGCUGAAGAUGGCAGGAAAAGGAUCGGCUCUUCCCCCUACCGGGUGUUCUUGGACACAUUACUCGUCUUCUCUGCCUCUGUUUAUCUGUCUGUGAAAUGGACCCAUUUUCAUAAGUGUGAUGGAAAUAAGUUAGACAACAUCCUUCUCCAGGUGGGCAUGGUGCAUUGCACAUAAGGAGUGCCCUCAGAAUUGAUUGAUCGCUUCCCUCCUUACUCCCGUCCUGGUCCAUCUGUUUAUCAGGACCGGGGCAAAGCCACAGUGAACCGGCCCCUCAACUUUGUGAAUAGCAGGAAGCCAGUGAGGAUAGGGGAGGUGUUGAGAGACAGACUCAGGAUCCCAAAACAUCCUAACCUGCUGGAGCAACAGCCUGAACUUCACAAGGUAAAAUGAACAGGGCUUAACUGAGAGAUCCGGGCUUGGCUCCAAGGCACCAACUGUACAAGGACAGGGUGGGGAAGUAGCAGCUUAGCAGAAGCAUGUGUGAAUAAAACUGAGGGUUUUCACCGACAGCCAGCUUCAUGUGAGUCAAACGAGAAGGCUGCCAAAGAAACGGACAGACUCUUAGGCUGCUGAAUUAAAGCGGAGUACUGAGCCCAGUGACUGUCCAUCUUGAUAUCAAUCAGAAUCGCCUGGGAAGCUCUGGUAACACUGGAUGCUCCUUGCUGUUCCCAGACCCUGUG